ensembl:lncRNA
UCGAAGUUAGAGGCGGAGGUGGGGGGGGGAGUUUCUCGGGGGAGGCAAAAAAAAAAGUUUUCUCUCCUCUGCAAAAGGCGGGCAGGGCGCCCUAAGUCCAAGGACAAUCCAUGGAAGUGUUCGCUUCUUCACAAGUUGUGCAAACGAUUUGUUAGUUCAUGAGCCUAAUUAGUGCGGGGAUCACAUAAACAGCUUCCUCCGAAGCCUGGUAAAUGGCUUGAUGAUUGGUCGCUAUUACUCGCCCUGAGGUGGAAGGGGGGAGACUCUUUAAAGUGCGUCAGAGGGAGGCGAGCGCCUGGGAACCCGGAGGCCUGGAUCCGGGCCGAGAGUGGAACGGAGUCGCCGCCGUGGCCGCGGCCGUGCCUCCUGCGCCCGCCGGGCCGCCCGGCCUCUCGGCGCCGUCGCCCCGCGCCCCCAGCUCACUCGCUCCCGCGGCGCCGCGGCGGCUUCUUCUCCUCCUCUUUCGCCUCCUCCUCUUCCUUCGCUUCUCCUCCUCCUCCUCGUCUUCCUCCUUCUUCUCCUCCUCCAGUUCUCCCUCCUCCUCUUUCCCCACCUCCUCCCCCUCGGCCACCGCCUCCUCUCCACCACCAUCACUCCCUCCGGGACACCCUGGUCCCUGCAGAGUCCCCGGUCGGCGCCGCCUCCUCUGCGGCCCCCUAGAUUCCCCAGCCUGCCGAUCCCGGGCUUGGGGGAACAGACGGACACGCGGACACUACAUAUUCCUCGCGCCCAGCGCUUCCGCUCUGCUGCCCUCCGCAGCCCCGCGUCUGGGGAGCUGGAAUCGCCCCGGGAGCCUUCGAGGAUGAAGAAACUCAGCGCCAGGGAGAGGGGGUGCUUUCCUGCGGUUGUCGCUUGGUCGAGCUUGAUGCUAUUGGACAGAGAAGCAAAUGAAGGUAAACCUGUGCCGUUUCUAGGGGCUUGAGGCUUUCUCAUCUCAGACCCUCUCCACCCUUCUCAGUGGCUCACAGGAAAAGAGAUCGGGACCCCACUCCCAGUAGGACCAGUGAGGUGAGUUGGGGAGACCCCAGCUUGGCUGUCAGUACCACAAACCCAGUCCAGAACUGUUUCUGGCUGCCAGGGUCAAGUGCUGGACUCAGCACUUGAGAAAAGAGUUCAUGCUGGCUGGACACCCGGGGGUCAUAGAGGUUCUUAACCUGUGACCUAGGCCCCGUGUCUUUGCAGGAGCCAGCGAACAGAAGGCACAGCUCAGGUGUGAAAGAGAUGCAGUUGAGACGGCCCUUCUCCCCCAGAAUCCCUGCCAGAUGUCAGGGGUGCAGGCCCUGGACCGCAGCCCCCCACCCCACCCAGAGAAGACCCAGCCUUCCCAAUGCUUGACUUGAGCCUGGAGCAGCCCAGAGGCCAAUCCUGCAGGCAUAAAGAUCAUCAAGGAUUGUUCCUAAAGUCUGGAAUCAAAGGAGCUGAUGGAAGCUGGGUCCUGUGCCCCCGGGGUACACCCAGCUCUUCCGGGAAUGCCAGCCCCACCCCUUUCGCUGCCCCCACUCACCAUCUCCCGGCCUCGCCCUCCCCCUUUCCUUCUCUUUCUCUCACUCACUUCUUUUCUUCUUAAAGUUAAUUGCAACUUUUUUCUCAGCGCCCUGAUCUGGAUAAGCCACAUCUCAUUAGAAAAAGAUUUAGCUGGAGCCAAAUCAGGCUGGAGAAGGAAUCCCUAAUCAACAGAGAAAAGAUUCGGGUGUAAUUGCUCUCUCCCGCCAUCCUCCCCCUCCCUCCUCCAAUCUUUCUCUGCUCAUUAAUCUGAAAAGAAAGUCGCAGUUGAACGUCUUGGUGUUCAAGUACCUGCUGCUGUGGCAAACAAAUCGAAGUACUUGGGGUUUUCUUUUGUGGGGGUGUCUAUGUGGACAGCUUCGGCUGUUGUGUGGAGGAGUAAAGCAUUUUGCUCUUGGGGGUGUGUAAGAAGCACCUUGGUUGGGGGAGUAAAACUCUGGGGGGGAGAUGUGUGUGUGUGAAGUGCUUGGUUGUGGGGAAAGUGUGAGUGGGUGUGUGAACCCUUUGGUUGUUAGAGUGUGUGUGUGUGAAGCUCUUUGGUAUGAAGUGCUUUGAUUAUUGAGAGGGUGUGUGAAGCUCUUUGAUUACUGAGAAUGUGUGUGUGUGGUGGGGGGAAGCCCUUUGGUUGGAUGGGGCAGUAAAAGCUCUCAGCGUGUGUGUAAAGCAUGUCGGUUGUUGGGUACAUGUGUUGUGGAUGUGGGAUAUGGUUGCGGGGUAUGGGAGGCAACUCCCCAGUUGUUGGUCCGUGGGGAUGCAGUGGAGGCCUUCAGUUGUUGGUGUGUGGUGCUUUGAUUGUUGGAUGCAUGUGAGUUCAUUCACAUGCCCCUUUGAUGGUUUCCUUUCGCCCCAACUAAAUCCCAACGGAUGCUUAAAUGGUGACACACAGAAGAUGAAUUUAGAAGCAAACCAUCUCCCCAUGUAGGGAGAAGAGGUGGGUCCCUACUCGCCCCAGAACCUCUGGAAAGCCCAGGCCCCUGUGUCUCAGCUACCUUACCUACGAUCCCCACUCUGCCUCAGUCCAACUCUUUUUGUGACCCCAUGGACUGUAGCCUGCCAGACUGCUCUGUCCAUGAGAUUUCCCAGGCAAGAAUACUAGCGUGAGCUGCCAGUCCCUUCUCCAGGGGAUCUUCUGGACCUAGGACUUGAACUUGCAUCUCCUGCUUGGCAGACAGAUUCUUAAAUGAAACAAAUUAUGGAAAUUAAUAAUGAUGUGUGCAUGUCAAGUGCUUUGACACUCCUGUUUUCUUUACUUCAUUUCAUGCGGCUACUGUAAAAAAUUUUAAUUACAAUGUGGCUUGCACUUGUGGCUCGUGUUAUAUUUACAUUAUAUAACACUGGCCUAGAAUAUAACACACCCUUUCACGAAUACUGGUAUUCUCCUUUAACCAACGAGCAAACCAGCUCAGGUUGAGUGGCUCUGGCCAAAGACACCAGCUGCAAAAGCCAGAAUUCGUGAGUGAUCCUGGCUGGACAGUCUGCUACUUGAUGAAACUCCUAAAACAAGAGCUAUAUUGUUGUGACACAAUCUUACACAGAGUGUUUAGUGCCAGCAGGACUGAAGCACAUUUGGAGUCUGGGGGAAAUUAAAUAAAGCCUGUGACUCGGGGAUGAAGAGGUUUUCCUGACACUAGUCAAGAAUGUUAAGGUGCAGGGUAGUUCUCAGUGAGUAGUGCUUGGGCAGGCUUCCGAGAUCCCUGCGUGAACUUGGGUCAGUCCCUUCCCCACUCUGGUCCUCACUUCUUCCGUCUGAAGAGAAGGGGCUGGAUUAAAUGUUCUCUGAGAUCCAUCGGGGUCUCUGGUGCCUCUCAGCAGAUUCCCAUCCUCCCAGGGAUUAAGGGUGAGCGUGUGAGCAACGUGCUGGGUCCUGGGGCAAAUAGCACGUCUCUUGUGUCACCUGUGAGAUACAGAGAACAGUGUGUACUUGGAAGUGAUGCUCUAAGGAUUAAUGAGAAAAUGCAGGUGAUGCACGCAGCACAUGCAGGGCACACAGGAAACAUAAAUGCUAGCUCUUGUUAUCAGUAUAGCAGUAAGCAGGUUGACCAGCUGGCUGGAAUAGUUCUGGGUCAGUAGACUCAGAUUUGUAAGCAGUAUCUAUCUUGGGUCCUCCCCCUAAGCUGUCACAUUCUGAGGCUGAAUUGAUCCAAGGAUCACCUUGAACUUGGCUUUUGAAGGGUUUGUUACCACUACAAUUCAGUUCCCUGAUUGCACGGGUAACAGAAGCACCCAGGAAGAGCACAGAUUGGCAGGGGUCCAGAGGAUGUUGGAGCAGAGGGAGACUCAGGUUCUUGUAAGAGGGCAUCUUCGGGAAUUUCAGAGGAGGAAGUGUUAGUGUCAUUUCUGUCCUUUGGUGGUAUAGCAGUCACAUGUCACUUUUCCAUCCUUUGGAGGACUGAUGCAGAUCCAUGACCAUAAGCUUUCUUCACUGCUUUUUUUUUUUUCCCCACCGUGGGAAGACUCUGACUUCAGUUCUUCUCAACAGCUGUUUUCAUUUUUUCAUCCCUGAAUUGUGUGUAAACAACCUCCGAUAGUAGAUAAAGGCUUUAUCAGCUCAGCAGCUCACCUCCUACAUACAGCCUCUUCUUCAUGAAUACAAGUCUGUGUUAGGAGUAAGUUGGACUUGAUUUUGUCUGCCGGUUGUUAUCCUGGGCUUAAUUGGGAGGAAUCUUGCGUUCAGUAUGUAGGCUCCCAGCUCUCUCUAAUGUUCCUCGGCCGCCAUCUGCUGGGUAAUCCUGGCAUGACAUAGUCCCCUCGGCUGGCGGGCUAAGGAAUGGAGUGUCUUGCAUUCAAUAACAAAAUAUACAGCAGGAACUGUGUACCAGGCAUAGUUCCAGGCACUUGGGAUUCAUUAGUGAACAAACAGACAAAUAUCUUUUCUUUUUAGCACUGAAAAUAUUCAACUAUCUGGAAUAUUGGGUGGAUUUUUGUUGUUCAGUCACAAGUCGUGUCUGGAAUGUUAUUUAUUCACUUACCUACUGAAGUGUAUCGUGGUUGUUUCCAAGUUUUAGCAAUCAUGAAUAAAACUGCUAUAAAUAUUUCUGGGCAAGUCCUUCUGUGUACAUUGUCAGUGUUUUGGAUUUGGGCCAUUUCUAUAGGUAUGUAGUAGCAUCUCAUUGUUUUAAUUUGCAUUUCUGAGGUAGUAUAUGAUGUGAAAUGUGGUCUCAUACAUUUUUUGCCAUUUGUGUGUCUUCUUUGCUGAGAUCUGUUCAGAUCUUUUGCCAAUUUUUAAAUCAGAUUGGUUGUUUUCUUAUUGUUGAGUGUUAAAGAGUUCUUUGUAUAUUUAAGAUAAUAGUCUUUUAUCAAAUGCGUUUUUUGCAAAUAUUUUCUCCUCCUUCUCUUGACACUACCUUAUCAAGCAGAAGCUUUUAAUUUCAAUGAAGUCAAGCUUAUCAAUUACUUCUUCAUGGAUGGUGCCUUUGGUAUUGUAUUUUAAAAAGUCAUUUGCCACAUCCAAGGUCACCUGGGUUUUCUCCUAUGUUGAUUUGCUCUUUUUCUAGUUUUAUAGUAUGGAAGCUUAAACGAUUGAUUUUUUAUAUUUCUUCUUUUCUAAUACAUAUAUUCAGUGUUACAAAUUUCCCUCUAAGCACUCUUUUCACUGCAUCCCACAAAUUUUGAUAAAUUGCAUUUUCAUUUCAUUAAAAUAUAUUUUAAAAUUUCUCUUAAGAUUUCUUAUUUGACUCAUGUUAUUUACAAGUGUAUUGUUUCACCUCCAAGUGUUUGGGGAUUUUCUGGCUUUCUGUCUGUUGUUAAUUUCUAGUUUAACUCCACUGUUGUCUGAAAGCUGAUGUUGCAUGAUUUCCUUUUCCUUUAAAUUUGUUAAAGUGUGUUUUAUGUCCCAGGAUGUGGUCUAUCGUGGUGAAUGCUCCAUGUGAGCUUGAGAAAAAUGUAUAUUCUGCUGUUGCUGGAUG